AGUAACGCGUGGGCAACCUGCCUUAUACAGGGGGAUAACAGCUGGAAACAGCUGCUAAUACCGCAUAAGCGCACAGCGGCGCAUGACGCAGUGUGAAAAACUGAGGUGGUAUAAGAUGGGCCCGCGUCUGAUUAGCUGGUUGGGAGGGUAACGGCCUACCAAGGCGACGAUCAGUAGCCGGCCUGAGAGGGCGGACGGCCACAUCGGGACUGAGACACGGCCCAGACUCCUACGGAAGGCAGCAG
rnacentral:rRNA from 1 species